rnacentral:rRNA from 1 species
AGCGAACGCUGGCGGCAGGCCUAACACAUGCAAGUCGAGCGCCGUAGCAAUACGGAGCGGCAGACGGGAGAGUAACACGUGGGAACGUACCCUUUGGUUCGGAACACCCCAGGGAAACUUGGGCUAAUACCGGAUAAGCCCUCACGGGGAAAGAUUUAUCGCCGAAGGAUCGGCCCGCGUCUGAUUAGCUAGUUGGUGGGGUAAUGGCCCACCAAGGCGACGAUCAGUAGCUGGUCUGAGAGGAUGAUCAGCCUCACUGGGACUGAGACACGGCCCAGACUCCUACGGGAGGCAGCAGUGGGGAAUAUUGGACAAUGGGCGCAAGCCUGAUCCAGCCAUGCCGCGUGGGUGAUGAAGGCCCUAGGGUUGUAAAGCCCUUUCGGCGGGGAAGAUAAUGACGGUACCCGCAGAAGAAGCCCCGGCUAACUUCGUGCCAGCCGCCGCAGUAAAAC